GUCGCCGCACACAAACAUGUGGCCCCGCUCGAGACACAGCACGCGGUGCACCUCAGCAGCCAGCUCGGUCCUCAGGAUGUCCUGCACGGGCCCCUCUCUGGAAGGCCUCACCUCUCCGUUCUCCGGAGGAUCCCCAUUCCCAAAUGUGCUGGUCACCACCAACACCAGCGUCUCGUGCUCGAGGGACACCACGUCGUACUCAUCCAUGCACAGGACCUGUGGGGCAUCUCUGAAGACACUGGCAGAGCCCCCACCACAUCCAGCGCCCUGCCCCCUGGGCUCAGGCCUACCCGGGGAUCAAACGCCUUCCGGAAG